CACAACAUCUGUGUCACCAAGAGGAUCCCUCUCCCUAGGCAACACCAUCAGCCGGUGCCGGAGGAAGGUGCCGACCCUGUGGACCAUGCAGGGCAUGAAGAUGUCGGUGGACGACUAGUCCGUACACGUAUUAUUAAUGCUUUAUAAAUGUUAUAAACUAUUGCUUCACUUAAAAUAAUUCUGCCAUAAAAAAUAAGCCACAAAGAAAGUCCAGUAGGUUUAUAAUAAACUCUUUUUUAAUUUACA